rnacentral:lncRNA from 1 species
GGAGUCACGGACCACACUCUGACUGUAGAGUCAGCAAAGCCUCCUACAAUCAUGCUGGAGUCAUCUGUAAUAUCCACUGCAGUUAGACCCUGAUAAGCGUUAAGGAACGUGUAGAAACAGAUGGAAGGCAGGCACUCUGGCCCAAGACGCACACGUCUGGCAGCUUCCUUCAUGUUCAUCACUUUAUCCAGUUUAUCUGAGUCUUUCAGCUCAGGAAGAGGAAUUCUGUUUUGAGGAGGAGCAUUAGGGUCUUGUUUUUUACUUUUUGACCCUACACUGUCUCUUUUAGCUUUUUUCUUCUUUGGUUUUCCUUCCUCGUUUUCUCCU